AUGGAAGCAAAAAGAAGUUGAGCUAUUUUCCUACACCGGAAGUAAAGAGUAACUGGGUUUUAAGGUCAAGGGAAGACAUAGAAAAUGAAGGAUCACAGGCACAAGGCUUGCAACCUCAUAGGGGAAAAUGGGAGAAGAUACUAGGGGAAGAAUUUGGCUGGCACCAGAUUGGCAUAGUUACUUUGAAAAGUUGAAGGCACUGCAUAGGAUCUAUGAAGCCCAAGCUGUUCCUCCAAUCGAGGAUUCAAAGUGACCCUCUCACCUAACUUCUAAAGCAACUAAGACUUCAGGUGU